UACAGAGGGCGCGAGCGUUAAUCGGGCUUACUGGGCGUAAAGCGUGCGUCGACGGUCGUGCAAGUCGGGUGUGAAAGCCCCAGGCUCAACCUGGGAAUUGCAUUCGAGACUGCUCGGCUAGGGUGCGGAAGAGGGAAGCGGAAUUUCCGGUGUAGCGGUGAAAUGCGUAGAUAUCGGAAGGAACACCAGUGGCGAAAGCGGCUUCCUGGUCCGACACCGACGUUCAGGCACGAAAGCGUGGGGAGCAAACAGG
rnacentral:rRNA from 1 species